rnacentral:rRNA from 1 species
AGAUGGGAGCUUGCUCCCUGAUGUUAGCGGCGGACGGGUGAGUAACACGUGGGUAACCUGCCUGUAAGACUGGGAUAACUCCGGGAAACCGGGGCUAAUACCGGAUGCUUGUUUGAACCGCAUGGUUCAAACAUAAAAGGUGGCUUCGGCUACCACUUACAGAUGGACCCGCGGCGCAUUAGCUAGUUGGUGAGGUAACGGCUCACCAAGGCAACGAUGCGUAGCCGACCUGAGAGGGUGAUCGGCCACACUGGGACUGAGACACGGCCCAGACUCCUACGGGAGGCAGCAGUAGGGAAUCUUCCGCAAUGGACGAAAGUCUGACGGAGCAACGCCGCGUGAGUGAUGAAGGUUUUCGGAUCGUAAAGCUCUGUUGUUAGGGAAGAACAAGUACCGUUCGAAUAGGGCGGUACCUUGACGGUACCUAA